rnacentral:rRNA from 1 species
CGAAGGGGGCUAGCGUUGCUCGGAAUCACUGGGCGUAAAGCGCACGUAGGCGGCUUUUUAAGUCAGGGGUGAAAUCCUGGAGCUCAACUCCAGAACUGCCUUUGAUACUGAGAAGCUUGAGUUCGGGAGAGGUGAGUGGAACUGCGAGUGUAGAGGUGAAAUUCGUAGAUAUUCGCAAGAACACCAGUGGCGAAGGCGGCUCACUGGCCCGAUACUGACGCUGAGGUGCGAAAGCGUGGGGAGCAAACAGGAUUAGAUGCCCUGGUAGUCCACGCCGUAAACGAUGGAUGCUAGCCGUUGGUGGGUUUACCCUUCAGUGGCGCAGCUAACGCAUUAAGCAUCCCGCCUGGGGAGUACGGUCGCAAGAUUA